UACGUAGGAUGCAAGCGUUGUCCGGAAUUAUUGGGCGUAAAGAGCUCGUAGGCGGUCUGUUGCGUCCGCUGUGAAAACUCGGGGCUUAACCCCGAGCCUGCAGUGGAUACGGGCAGACUAGAGGUAGGUAGGGGAGAAUGGAAUUCCUGGUGUAGCGGUGGAAUGCGCAGAUAUCAGGAGGAACACCGGUGGCGAAGGCGGGUCUCUGGGCAGUAACUGACGCUGAGGAGCGAAAGCGUGGGGAGCGAACAGG
rnacentral:rRNA from 1 species